UAGUUAAUUACUCUUGUGUUAGCACAAAACUUGGAAAAAGAAAAUGGAGAAGGCACCAUUCCUUAAGGUUUUCUUGAUUUUCUUUUUGCUUAUGUUGUUUGGAGAAGAAAGCCACGCGGAAAUAAGAUGCACUAAGGAUGCUGAUUGUGCUAAUCUGAGAUGUGCAGAAACACAACCCAAAUGUGACUUGGCAAAACAUCAAUGCAUCUGUCCAACCCCACCAAAUUGUGGAACAAAAAGGGUUCAUAAGACUGACCAAAAAUGAUUUACAAUGUUUGUUAUUCAUAUGCAAAAUUGAACCAUACUUUAUAUAUUUCCUUUUCAUA